AACUAGUCAACGUGCUGGAAGCUGUUUUCAAGCCUGAAGUUCGCUGAUUCAGAGCAGACAUCCAGCCAUUGUUGGUGAUGAAAGAAGAAAUUCUCCCUGAACAAGAAGAAUGUAAUCUGAAUGUUGACCAGGAGGACAU